AGGAGCCCGCAGGGGGACGGGCACCGGGGCGGGCGGCUGUGCCCCCCGGCCGUGCUCCCGCGGCCCGGGACACCACUCCCUCCCUUGCCCCACUCGGCUCCUCGCAGGUGGAGCCUCCGGGAGGGCUGAGCAGGCAGCCUGGUCUCCGUUCCGCCGCCUCCGGCGCUCCCGUUGCCCUUGCGGGGUGAGGCGUCAGGAGAAGCCGUGGGCAUUCCAAGCAGCCGGGUGCUGAGUCCCGGGCGAGCUCACACGCGGCGGUUCGCAGCUCUCGCUGUCCCUAACUUGGCUUCCGUGGCAUCACCCCCACCCGGAAACCUCCACAGCCAUCAAGAAUUGAUCCGUGAUGUUGCAGCACAAGAGCUGCCCUAUGAACGCGGCUGCAGUGUACUGGGUGACCAGACACCCACAUCCUUGAACAUUCGCUCCGCUAGUCCUCCUGCCAUUUGUCUUUUUGUUACUUUUUGUUACAAAAAUCCGACUCUACUGCUUUCCGUCAAAAUAGAACAGAAAGUUUACCAAAAGAGGUAUCAAAGCCAGUGGACAGUCAAAAUAAAAAUGGAUUAUUCAGAGGAGAUAAGGUUCUGGAGAAAAAUUAAAUUAAUAUUUUGCUCUGUGCUCAUUGUAGAGGAACCUAAGAAUAUUCCCGUACUUAUACUUGAUCUUAUGAAAGAUUUAUCAGAGGACCUGUUUCAAACUGAAGGUCUGUAGAAAAGGUAGUGAAACAAAUGGCUAAAAUAAAAAGUGUUGAACAAUUGGAUUGCAUUAUAUUCAUCCAAGAGUUCUAAAAGAAGUCAAGACUGAAAUAGCUGAGCUGCUUACUAAUGGUUUUUGUGUAACAUUGCGUUUAGAAGGGCUUUGAUAACAGAAACAGGGAAGUUAGUUAAUAUGCCAAUUAAAAAAAAAAAAACAAAAAACAAAAAACAGAACAAAAAAACCCCAGCAGCCUGAAAAGUUCUGUAGAGCUGCUGAGCAACGAGCCUAUUCUCUGUACCACCCAUGUUAGUGAAAACUUUAAAAGUUGAACUAGUGGAUUCAGGGAGAAAAUGAGGUACUGUGAAAGAUGGCAGAACCUUUCUAAUGAGAACUCCUGGCCUUACAGAUUGUUUGGAGUCCUGUGAGGAGUCAGCAAAGCAUGUGGACAAGAGACAUCCAGCUGGUGUUUCCUACUUGGGUUUCUAAAAGGUGUUCAACAAAAUCUGUGAGCAAAACCUUCUGAAGGAACUGUAGAAUAAGAGAAGUUUUCAUGUGGAUAGAUGACACUGCAUCAAAGACAGGUCUCUAAGACAGAACAAAACUAUUUCUUCGUGGAUUCAGCCAACAUUCAAAUCUCUACAAGGAUCUGAUUUGGAGCCUGUGGACCGAGGGCAAAUGUAGUAAAACAUCACAAUACAAAAUCUUUUGCUGAUAAGGUUGUUCUUUGGAGCUGCAUCCGGGAGCCCUUCCAGGCAGAGGUGGGCUGGUGACCCAGUGAGGUGCUGAAGUGAAACCAACACCACCCAUUCUUCUCAUUUGGAACCAGUGGAUGUUCACAAGGGACCUGGAAUUAUAUCAACAGGAUAUCAUGGGAAAACAAAAGAAGGCUGGAACUAGCAUGUGGACAAUGUAGCUUUAUCAUUUCCAAUUAAGGAGCUCUUGUUCUGUGGAGUGCUGUCCUGUCCCCUGCCACCCCCUGGCAUCUUUAGUCUGCACAACAACAGAUUUUCAGCUCUUCUUCACUGAUUAGAUUUGAGCUCUGUUUUUAUACAAAUGUUUUGUAUCUUGGUCUGUUGGCUAUGGACAACCAGCUGCAACAUUAAAGGAGUAAUUUUAAUUCUGAUUGCAUUGCAUCUUCCACUUGGUAAGGAUUGAGUGCUUUUUAAAUAGCCCAUCUUGAAUCUUCUCAUGCUCGGGAAGAAGGGAAGAGAAACCAACUCAUAAUAUAGUAUUUAUCUGGUUUUGUUUGCAAAAUUAAAUAUUUUCCCUGAAUAGGUAAUGGUAUUGCAAAGGCCAUGUGUUAAAGUGUUAAUCUUAAAGCAUAUAAUCUGAAAGGUACAUGGAAUUCAGAUAUUGUGAGGAUAUUUGGGUUUUUAAAUAAAACAUUAUUUUGACACUGCUUUGAAGUAUAUUGGGUGCUUCAGCAUGAGGGUGAUAAAAUUCCUGAUAUGAAGCAUUUGAAUUCUAAUUGUAGGAAAAAUAACAGUUGCCAGUAGCACAGGGAGAAGGACAAGCUCUGUUGCAGCACUUAGGCAUGUGGUAUGGCAGUUGAAUCAAAACAGCAACGUAACCUAAUGGUGAUGUGUCACUAACCUCGAGGACACCAGGGGAGAUACAACAAAGUAAUUUGCUGUCAUUACAUAAGAACUGAGUACAAAGCCAAGAAUGGGGUUUCGGCACAGAUAAGGAUUCCACUCCAAGACUUUCAAAGAAUUCAGCUCUUCAAAGCUUUAACUAUCCACGGGCCUCUCAG